rnacentral:rRNA from 1 species
GACGAACGCUGGCGGCGUGCCUAAUACAUGCAAGUCGAACGAGAGCAACCGGUGCUUGCACUGGUCAAUCUAGUGGCGAACGGGUGAGUAACACGUGGGUAACCUGCCCAUCAGAGGGGGAUAACAUCCGGAAACGGAUGCUAAAACCGCAUAGGUCUUCGAACCGCAUGGUUUGAAGAGGAAAAGAGGCGCAAGCUUCUGCUGAUGGAUGGACCCGCGGUGCAUUAGCUAGUUGGUGAGGUAACGGCUCACCAAGGCCGUGAUGCAUAGCCGACCUGAGAGGGUGAUCGGCCAAAUUGGGACUGAGACACGGCCCAAACUCCUACGGGGGGCAGCAGUAGGGAAUCUUCCGCAAGGGACGCAAGUCUGACGGAGCAACGCCGCGUGAGUGAAGAAGGUUUUCGGAUCGUAAAACUCUUUUGUUAGAGAAAAACAAGUGCUAGAGUAACUGUUAGCGCCUUGACGGUAUCUAACCAGAAAGCCACGGCUAACUACGU